GCUGUAAGGCUUGGUGGAGUUUUAACAAGUAAGAAUGUUGGCAUGAGUAGCAAAAAUGCCGGUGAGAAUCCGGCAGGCCGUAAGUCUAAGGAUUCCUACGCAACGUUGAUCGACGUAGGGUUAGUCGGGCCUAAGGCGUAUCCGAAAGGAGAAGUCGAUGGACAGCUGGUAAAUAUUCCAGCACCUUUAAUAAAUUGUUUGACUCGAAGAGGUGACGCAGAAAGAUAAACAGAGCAUACGCAUCGGACAUCGUGUGUUUUUGCCUGUAGGUGAGUAAAAGAGGUUAAAAUAUCUUUUAUGUUUGAACUGAGGGGUGAGAGAACUAUGAAGUUAGCUUCGUAGAAUUCUGUUGAGUCUAUACUGCCAAGAAAAGCCUCGUUGAUUAGAUUUUUUGAAGACCGUACCGCAAACCAACACAGGUAGACAGGGAUAAACGUCCCAAGGCCUUCGAGAGAACCAUCGUUAAGGAACUCGGCAAAUUGACCCCGUAACUUAGGGAGAAGGGGGACCUUUUAUGUAUAUGAGCUUGCCUCAAAAAGCAUUAAAGGUAGCAUAAAAUAGGUUGAAGCGACUGUUUAUCAAAAACACAGGUCCAUGCCAAAGCGAAAGCUGAUGUAUAUGGGCUGACGCCUGCCCAGUGCCGGUAGGUUAAGGAAGGUGGUGCAAGCUACUGACUGAAGCCCCGGUGAACGGCGGCCGUAACUAUAACGGUCCUAAGGUAGCGAAGUCCCUUGUCGGGUAAGUUCCGACCCGCACGAAUGGCGUAACGACUUCAACACUGUCUCAACGAUGGACUCGGUGAAAUUGCAGGACCGGUAAAGAUGCCGGUUACGCGCAGCAGGACAAAAAGACCCCGUGGAGCUUUACUGCAACUUGGCAUUGGUUCGAGUUUUAAAAUGUGUAGGAUAGGCGGGAGACUAUGAACUUCAGGCGUUAGCCUGGGGGGAGUCGCCCUUGAAAUACCGCCCUUUUUAUGAUUUGAACCUAACUAUUUAGAACAGUGUCUGGUGGGCAGUUUGACUGGGGCGGUCGCCUCCCAAAGAGUAACGGAGGCGUACAAAGGUCACCUCAGGCUGGAUGGAAAUCAGCUUUUGAGUGCAUUGGCAUAAGGUGGCUUGACUGCGAGACCUACAAGUCGAGCAGGGACGAAAGUCGGUCAAAGUGAUCCCACGAUUCCGAGUGGAAGGGUCGUGGCUUAACGGAUAAAAGCUACCCCGGGGAUAACAGGCUUAUCUUGCCCAAGAGUCCAUAUCGACGGCAAGGUUUGGCACCUCGAUGUCGGCUCGUCGCAUCCUGGGGCUGAAGAAGGUCCCAAGGGUCGGGCUGUUCGCCCGUUAAAGCGGCACGCGAGCUGGGUUCAGAGCGUCGUGAGACAGCUCGGUCUCUAUCCGCUGUGCGCGUAGGAUAUUUGAAGGAAUUUGCUCCUAGUACGAGAGGACCGGAGUGAGCAAACCAAUGGUGUAUCGGUUGUAACGCCAGUUGCAUCGCCGAGUAGCUAAGUUUGUUAGGGAUAAGCGCUGAAAGCAUCUAAGUACGAAGCCCCUCCUGAGAUAAGAUAUCCCAUCUCUUUAUGAGAGUAAGAUCCCCGGUAGACUACCGGGUUGAUAGGCUACGUGUGUAAGCAUAGUAAUAUGUUCAGCUAAGUAGUACUAAUAGAUCGAGGAUUUGAUGA
rnacentral:rRNA from 1 species